AGAACGAGUUAGCGACUGUCUUGAGUCGUUACCCGGCGAAAUUGAAAUGGCUGUGAAGAUGCGGCCUACUUGCACCUGGACAAAAAGACCCCGUGGAGCUUUACUGUAGCUUGGCAUUGAGAAGACGUUUGAAACUGUCGAGAAUAGGAGGGAUCCCGCCGCAAGGCGGGAAGCAGUGGAAUACCUCUCUUUUCAAACGUUGACCCUAAUCCUUUAGCCGCUCAAAGAACCGGCAAGGAGACAGUGUCUGGUGGGCAGUUUCGCUGGGGAGGUGGCCUCCAAAAGAGUAACGGAGGCGUACAAAGGUUGGCUUAUCCCGGAUGGAAAUCGGGAUGAAAGUGCAAACGCAUAAGCCAGCUUGACUGCGAGACAAACAAGUCGAGCAGACGCGAAAGCGGGUGUUAGUGAUCCUCGGAUCAGCAGUGGUUGCUGACCGAGCUUAACGGAUAAAAGCUACCCCGGGGAUAACAGGCUGAUCGGGCCCGAGAGUCCAUAUCGACGGCCCGGUUUGGCACCUCGAUAGACAAAGACAAACAUGUCGAGGUUAAAUUCAGCUCAUAACGGAGAAAACCUGAUAUUUAUGAACCCAAAAAAAUUUUGAAUAUCAGGCCUACACCGUGGGAAGUCCGAUGUUACAUCAGACCCCGUAACGACUGAUCUCCGCCCUUUCUUGGAAAGAGCGGGGUGAGAUGGAAUUCUCAAAUUUACUUCCAUCAAACGCUGAACUCUAAACCAGAACAAAGUACGGUUUAGGGAAGGUAUAGUCUACACCAUUAGUAAUAAUGGAUAUUGUGGUCGGCUCAUCCUAUCCUGGGGGUGGAGAAGCUCCCAAGGGUCCGGCUGUUCGCCGGUUAAAAGGGUACGCGAGCUGGGUUCAGAACGUCGUAAGACAGUUCGGUCUCUAUCCGGUGCAAGCGUUAGAUACUUGAGGGGAGCUCUUGCUAGUACGAGAGGACUGCGAGGGAGGAAUCCCUGGUGUGCCAGUUGUGUUCCAGAGUGAAUGCAGCAAGCUGGAUAGCUACAUUCCUACGGGAUAAGCGCUGAAAGCAUCUGAAGCGCCAAGCCCACCCCAAGAUAAGGUAUCUUUACGAGACCCCUGGUAGACUACCAGGUUGAUAGGCGGAAAGUGUACGCACCGCAAGGUGUUUAGCUUAUCCGUACUAAUUGGUCCAGAGUAAACUUUAA
rnacentral:ncRNA from 1 species